GACGAACGCUGGCGGCGUGCUUAACACAUGCAAGUCGAACGGAAAGGCCCUGCUUUUGUGGGGUGCUCGAGUGGCGAACGGGUGAGUAACACGUGAGUAACCUGCCCUUGACUUUGGGAUAACUUCAGGAAACUGGGGCUAAUACCGGAUAGGAGCUCCUGCUGCAUGGUGGGGGUUGGAAAGUUUCGGCGGUUGGGGAUGGACUCGCGGCUUACCAGCUUGUUGGUGGGGUAGCGGCUUACCAAGGCUUUGACGGGUAGCCGGCCUGAGAGGGUGACCGGCCACAUUGGGACUGAGAUACGGCCCAGACUCCUACGGGAGGCAGCAGUGGGGAAUAUUGCACAAUGGGUGGAGGCCUGAUGCAGCAACGCCGCGUGCGGGAUGACGGCCUUCGGGUUGUAAACCGCUUUCGCCUGUGACGAAGCGUGAGUGACGGUAAUGGGUAAAGAAGCACCGGCUAACUACGUG
rnacentral:rRNA from 1 species